UACCAGCUCCUCGAGUGGUCGGGGCGAUUAUUGGGCCUAAAGCAUCCGUAGCCUGUUCUGUAGGUCUUCUGUUAAAUCCAACGGCUCAACCGUUGGCGGGCAGAGGAUACCGCAGGACUAGGAGGCGGGAGAGGUGGGCGGUACUCCACGUGUAGGGGUAAAAUCCUUUGAUCCGUGGAAGACCACCAGUGGCGAAGGCGGCCCACCAGAACGCGCUCGACGGUGAGGGAUGAAAGCUGGGGGAGCGAACCGG
rnacentral:rRNA from 1 species